rnacentral:rRNA from 1 species
UACGGAGGGUGCGAGCGUUGUCCGGAAUCACUGGGCGUAAAGGGCGCGUAGGCGGCCUGAUAAGUAGGGGGUGAAAUCCUGCGGCUUAACCGCAGGGCUGCCUUCUAAACUGUCAGGCUAGAGCACGGUAGAGGCAGAUGGAAUUCCCGGUGUAGCGGUGAAAUGCGUAGAUAUCUGGAGGAAUACCGGUGGCGAAGGCGGCAUCCUGGACCGAGAUUGACACUGAUGAGCGAAAGCCAGGGGAGCAAACGGG